rnacentral:rRNA from 1 species
UACGUAGGGGGCUAGCGUUGUUCGGAAUCACUGGGCGUAAAGCGCACGUAGGCGGAUUGUUAAGUCGGGGGUGAAAUCCUGAGGCUCAACCUCAGAACUGCCUUCGAUACUGGCGAUCUUGAGUCCGGAAGAGGUUGGUGGAACAGCUAGUGUAGAGGUGAAAUUCGUAGAUAUUCGCAAGAACACCAGUGGCGAAGGCGGCUCACUGGCCCGAUACUGACGCUGAGGCACGAACGCGUGGGGAGCAAACAGG